rnacentral:lncRNA from 1 species
GAGUACCCCCAACUCUGGUUUAGACUUUCCUUGUAGGUCUCGAUGGCGGCCACGGUCAUCUCAACUCCAGCUUCUCCGAUGUCGGUGGAAUUCUGCACCAACAGAAUUGGUGCUAGAGAAAGAAUGUGUGUCUUUGCAGUACCCUUGUUCUUAAAGGAGUGCUUAACGGGACUAUCUUCGGUCAUCUUCUCUGACAUCUUUUUCUCCUUCUCCUGCCAGAUCUCUGCCUGAUGCCUCCCCGAAAGGUAUCCACCAGGUGUUCCACAGCCUCCGUGGCC